AUUCCAGCUCCAAUAGCGUAUAUUAAAGUUGUUGUGGUUAAAAAGCUCGUAGUUGGAUCUCGGCGGUCUGAGGGCGGUUCGCUUCAGAGCGCUACUGCCCUAUAGACCGUAGUUUUGCCAGAGGUCUCAGGGUGCUCUUAACCGAGUGUCUUGCGAUGCUGGCAGGUUUACUUUGAAAAAAUUAGAGUGCUCAAAGCAGGCUUUUACGCCUGAAUAUUCGUGCAUGGAAUAAUAGAAUAGGAAGUCGUUUCUAUUUUGUUGGUUUUCGGAAAUCGACUUAAUGAUUAACAGGGACAGUUGGGGGCAUUCGUAUUUAACUGUCAGAGGUGAAAUUCUUGGAUUUGUUAAAGACGGACUACUGCGAUAGCAUCUGCCAUGGAUGUUUUCAUUA
rnacentral:rRNA from 1 species